rfam:Heligmosomoides polygyrus genome assembly, scaffold: HPBE_scaffold0004242
GCGCCGGUGGUGAAAUGGCGUAGAGCAUUCCCGCCCGGUCAGAGGGAGGUGCGGGUUCGAGUCCCGUCUGGCGCU